CCAAUAGCGUAUAUUAAAGUUGUUGCAGUUAAAAAGCUCGUAGUUGAACUUCGGGGUUCACCCAUUGGUCAGGCUUAAUUGUCUGCACUGGUGAGAUGAGUCUCUACCUUCUGAGGAACUUUCAUGUCAUUAAUUUGGUGUGAUUGGAAAUCAGGACUGUUACUUUGAAAAAAUUAGAGUGUUUAAAGCAGGCUAACGUCUGAAUACAUUAGCAUGGAAUAAUGAAAUAGGACGGACUGAUUCUAUUUCGUUGGUUUCUAGGAUCACCGUAAUGAUUAAUAGGGAUAGUUGGGGGCAUUAGUAUUCAAGUGUCAGAGGAGAAAUUCUUGGAUUUAUUGAAGACUAACUACUGCGAAAGCAUUUGCCAAGGAUGUUUUCAUUAAUCAAGAACGAAAGUUAGGGGAUCGAAGACGAUCAGAUACCGUCGUAGUCUUAACCAUAAACUAUGCCGACUAGGGAUCGGAUGAUGUUAAUUUUUUAAUGACUCAUUCGGCGCCUUACG
rnacentral:rRNA from 1 species